rnacentral:lncRNA from 1 species
AUGAAACAGCUCUGCUGUGAUGGUAGGAUGGAGACCCAUAACAUAAUCAUCAUCACACAGAAUAGGCGACGAGGAAUGGAGACAUUCAAUGUACUUGGGAAUGAAAUCUCUCCGGGAGACGCACUACCGGGUCCGUCACACAACGAGACCGUUUGGAGCUUGUCACCUUCACCGGGCACCGGACCCUCACCUGUAUCCGAGCUCUCCUUCAGCCUAAAGAGCCUCCGAUGCCACGACGGCGCCGACACCCCGCGCAGAAAGCUGCGACUGACGCCGGAGCUAGUGACUCCCAGUCCCCCUGGGCCCACGCCGGGUUCGACUUGUGGCAGAGGGCUUGCCCCCCAGGGAGACGAGACGCCGACAGGUAAUGUCCUAACAGACUCCGGGAACAGGAGAAGGGGAGAGAGGUUUCUCUCCCCUGCAUGUUCUGCUCCCAAAAUGAAGCGUCUGCGUGUGAAGCUGUCGACCCGGUUCUGCAGCGCUGCAGUUCAGAGGUCAGACCCAGGGGUCAGGGGUCUCAGAUGUCAAGGUCAGAGUUCCCCGCCAGGAGGCGGAGCCUUGCGUGUCUGUCAGGGUGAUGUGGAGCUGCCAGAUGUUGAGGCAUUGCUCUCUGUACGGCGGGUCAGGGCCAGGAGGCGGCAUUUCCCUCCCAGUAGCCUCCUGGGUUCUACCAUGGAGGACCACACCCUGACAGGAGAUUACAGCAAGGUGUGCAACCUCACAUCAACAUUUUCACAACGUUGUAAAAAAUGUUUUUUUUCCCCCCAGCUGGGUGAUAGUAGGCUAGGACACGCCCUUGAUUGGCUGAAUCUGGUGUGUUAGUGCUGUGCUAGAACAAUAUGUUUAAUGUGUGUGUGUGUGUGUGUGUGUGUGUGUGUGUGUGUGUGUGUGUGUGUGUGUGUGUGUGUGUCCACAGCCAUACUGUUACCAGUUAGAGAGGUGGAAACACCGGAUCUUCACUGCGUCUCAGCCCCAACGUAAGUCCUCUCCUUUCCUCAUCUCUCCUUCCUUCCUUCUCCUUCCUUCCUUCCUUCUUCCUUCCUUCCUUCCUUCCUUCCUUCCUUCCCUUCUUCCUUCCUUCCUUCCCUUGUUUCUCACUCCCACUCUCUAUGUUCUCUCUAUUUCUCCUUCAUCCUCUUCAUCCUAAUCAUAAGGAUAUCCACAUCCGAUACAUUGUGGACUACACACACUGCUUAUUGGACUUCAACACAUCUGUUAGCGAUGGUAUCUAGAGGGUUGUCUCCUGCUCGUACUGUUGCCAGGUUGUUACCGUUGCUGUGGUAAACUGGAGGUGCAUUUCUCCUGUUGGCCU